GAUGAGUUUCCAGUACCGAGCACUGCAGCUGGGAGUGGGCGUUGUCCGUGGUGAAAUAAAAACUGGGACGGGAUCUUCGCCCAGUUGGCGCUUUUUCGGCGCGCUGACCUGUGGUCGAGGCUUGGAGCCGAGCUCUGGAGAGGGCGGAGGCCCCGAGCGGAGAUUUCUAUUAUAGAUCAGUGCAGAAUGGAUCAAAACGGAAAGAAGCCUCUCUGGCCAGAAGAAGUCUUCAUUGGAAGAAAUAACAUCCCUAAAGAAGGAACGUGUAAAUCAGGAAUUGAGCCAAGAAAAAGCCUGGGAGGUAAAUAUUUGUCAGGGUCCCCAGUCUAAAGGGGAAAGUCUCCUGAGCAGGUACAAAAACCUGUCUGGUUCUGGUAGUAGAGGUAGUUUCAUCUUCCUUAUCAAAACCUGAUAUGAUUCCAUUAAAUAUUUGAAGCUUACAACUAAACCUUUUAUUCUGUUUCCUUUCUUAACGAACACAGUUGUAAAUGUUAUUUUAAUUCCCAUAUAAUUUUUUCUGCAGGGAGAGAACAUUUUGGCCAAAUGAAAUGAAUAGCCGUUCAUUUCCCUUGACAGUUAUAUUUUUUCAUUGUGAAUUAGCACACUGGUAUUUUGGUUUUCAUACACAAGUUCUGAUGAUCAUGAUUCAGCAUGUCUGGUCCUGUAACACAAAGGCCGGACCCUAAACUGAGUGAAUUCACAAAGAUAAGUAUCACUCUGAAGCUGCUUGGCCAGCCAGCUUUCUAACACCCCAGCAUUCCAAUACCUUUCAGCCACUUUUCUUCAGAAAGGAGUUUCUGUCUGUAGAUGAAGGACUAAAAUAUUGUGAAGAUUUGGGAACUUCUGUAACUCACUUCUAUUUAUUAAAACCCUUAAAGUGGGAAGAUUUCACAAUUUCCUUGAGUGCAGCAUGGAAUACUGCAUUUUUCUAGGGAGAAGAAUGGGUGUUUGAGUAUGGCAUUUAAAAGAAGGAAAAACAAGUUUCUGUUUUGCCCCUGAAGAGAAGAGUUCUGAAGNNNNNNNNNNNNNNNNNNNNNNNNNNNNNNNNNNNNNNNNNNNNNNNNNNNNNNNNNNNNNNNNNNNNNNNNNNNNNNNGAAUGUCUAUAAAAGGGGUUAGAGGCAGAAAAAAAGAAUCUGGGCAAGGAAGAAAUAAGCAUUAAGAAGGGAUCAUAAACAAUGUUGAAGGAUGCAGAGUCACGAGAGGGGUUUAAGAAAAGGCCUUUGGAUUUGUUAACUAGAAGGCUAUUGAUUAUUUUGUUUGACUGCUUUUUUUUUUACUAUGUUAAAAUUUUUUAAUAUGUACAUUAUAUUUUAACCUUGGAACAGACAUUACAUUUUCAUAGUUAAAAAUUCAAGAUGUGAAAAGAGAUAUAAUUCACUGUUGUACUGGCAUCCCAGUGACUGUAAAAAAGCAAGGUAAUAUAAGGAUUAGAAAGAAAUACAUAAACCUGUUGUUUGGAAACAAGCACGAUAGUCUAUAUAAAAUUUAUAAACUGUUAGUAUUAAUGAAUUUAGCAAGUUUAUACAGUCAGUAUAUAAAGGUUAAUUUUAUAUACCACCGCUAAACAAUUAGGAAAUUAAAUUUUUUUAUGUUUUACCAUACAUGAAUGCACAAAAAAUAUUGAAUAACUAGUAUGUUAGUUUCCAGUGGCAGCUGUGACAAAUUACCACAAGCAUAGUAGCUUAAAAUGCAUUCAUCCUCUCAGUUCUAGAAACGAAAAGUCUGAAAUUGAGGUGUCAGUAGGCUGAGCUCCCUCAAGCGGCUUGAGGGGAGAAUCUGUUUCUUGCCUUUUCCAGUUUCUGUUGUCUGCUGGCAUUCUUAGGCUUGAAGCCACGGUCACACUAACCUCUGUGUCCAUCUUCACAUUGCCUUCUCUGUGUGUCUAGAAUUUUCCUCUUGUCUGUUAAUAUAGGGGGCUUCCUAGGUGGUGCUAGUGGGAAAGAGCCCACCUGCAAGUGAGAAGACAAAAAGGGAUGUGGGUUAGAUCACUGGGUUGGGAAGACCCCUGGNNNNNNNNNNNNNNNNNNNNNNNNNNNNNNNNNNNNNNNNNNNNNNNNNNNNNNNNNCCUGGCGGGCUACAGUCUAUAGGACCGCAAAGAGUCAGACAUGACUGAAGUGAUUUAGCAUGCAGGCACGCUGUUAUAUAGAGACUGCUAGCAUGUAUGGCCCGCCUGAAUAAUACAGAAUUAUCUCCUUGUCUCAAGAUCCUUAAUCAUAUCUGCAAAGAUGCUUUUUCCAAAUAAACAUCUUACAGUUUCCAAGGGUUAGGCCCUAAUGUCUUUGGGGCACCAUCCAGCCCACUGCACCUAGGAAUAAAUUUUAAUGAAAGAGAUAUAAGAAGUCUGUACUGAAAAUUGUGUUGUUGAUAGUAAUUAGAGAAGACCCAAGUAUUAGUAGCUGGACAGAUACUGUCCUCAUGGAUCAGAAGAUUUAAUUUUGUAAAGGUGUGAGUUCUCCCCAAAUGAUCUAUAUAGAUUUAGGCUAAUCCCUACUAGAAUCCAGCAGAUGGUAUGUGUGAGUGAAUUGACAAGCUGAGCCUUAAAUGUAUAUGGAAAUUAUAUAAAGAUCAAAGACAGCCAAGACAAUCUGGAACAAGAAUGAAGUUGGGGGAUUUGCACUAUCAGAUAUUAGAAAGUAGACCAAUGGAACUGAAUAGGAUUCCCAAACAGAAGAUUAUGUGAACAUUUUAAUUUUGCAAAGGUGAUGCUGUAGUGAUGAGAAAAAAAAAAUGGAUGUUUGAAUAAAUGAUGCUGGGUCAUUUGAAUAUACUUGAUGCCUACUCAACUCUGAAUAUUCAUUGGAAGGACUGAUGCUAAAGCUCCAAUACUUU
ensembl:lncRNA